rnacentral:rRNA from 1 species
UACGGAGGGUGCAAGCGUUAUCCGGAUUCACUGGGUUUAAAGGGUGCGUAGGCGGGCAGGUAAGUCAGUGGUGAAAUCUUCAAGCUUAACUUGGAAACUGCCAUUGAUACUAUCUGUCUUGAAUGUUCUGGAGGUUAGCGGAAUAUGUCAUGUAGCGGUGAAAUGCUUAGAUAUGACAUAGAACACCUAUUGCGAAGGCAGCUAACUACGGAAAUAUUGACGCUGAGGCACGAAAGCGUGGGGAGCAAACAGG